rnacentral:rRNA from 1 species
CGUGGGCGCUGGAGAAUUGAGGGGGGCUGCUCCUAGUACGAGAGGACCGGAGUGGACGCAUCACUGGUGUUCGGGUUGUCAUGCCAAUGGCACUGCCCGGUAGCUAAAUGCGGAAGAGAUAAGUGCUGAAAGCAUCUAAGCACGAAACUUGCCCCGAGAUGAGUUCUCCCUGAGACUUUAAGUCUCCUGAAGGAACGUUGAAGACGACGACGUUGAUAGGCCGGGUGUGUAAGCGCAGCGAUGCGUUGAGCUAACCGGUACUAAUGAACCGUGAGGCUUAACCUUACAACGCCGAAG